rnacentral:rRNA from 1 species
GUGAACGCUGGCGGCGUGCCUAACACAUGCAAGUCGAACGAUGAUAGGAAGCUUGCUUCCUUGAUUAGUGGCGCACGGGUGAGUAUACCAUAGAUAAUGUACCUCUUAGUUCGGGAUAGCCACUGGAAACGGUGAUUAAUACCGGAUACUCCUUCUCAUUAUAAGAUGAGUCGGGAAAGUUUUUUCGCUAAGAGAUCAGUCUAUGUCCUAUCAGCUAGUUGGUGAGGUAAUGGCUCACCAAGGCUAUGACGGGUAUCUGGUUUGAGAGGAUGAUCAGACACACUGGAACUGAGACACGGUCCAGGCUCCUACGGGAGGCAGCAGUGAGGAAUAUUGCACAAUGGAGGAAACUCUGAUGCAGCAACGCCGCGUGGAGGAUGACGCAUUUCGGUGUGUAAACUCCUUUUAAGAGGGAAGAUAAUGACGGUACCUCUUGAAUAAGCACCGGCUAACUCCGU